rnacentral:rRNA from 1 species
UACGAAGGGUGCAAGCGUUGUUCGGAAUUACUGGGCGUAAAGAGCGCGUAGGCGGUCUAUUAAGUCAGGCGUGAAAGUCCCGGGCUCAACCUGGGAAUUGCGUUUGAUACUGGUAGGCUUGAGAUUCAGAGAGGUGAGUGGAAUUCCUAGUGUAGCAGUGAAAUGCGUAGAUAUUAGGAGGAACAUCAGUGGCGAAGGCGCUCACUGGCUGA